rnacentral:misc_RNA from 1 species
CCUUUCGAUUAAAUUAAAAAUUAUUAAAAUCGGUACACCCAGUAAAAAGUUAUUGCGGAUUUUCAAGAAUUUCCCUCGAUUUCUCUGGGAUCCCAUCAUCAGAUCCUGGUUUUCUUAUCACCGUACUAAACUAGGGAUAUCCCCUUUCCAACAAAAAAAGAAUUAUCAAAAUCGGUACCUCCAGUAGAAAGUUAUGCGGUAUAAUACAACGUAGGUCGACGAAAAAAGCGUCAAGUAAAAACGCAUUAUUAGAUAUAACUCGAAAAGUAGUUGUUA